AAGAGCUACGCCCAUUGUAUGCAUCCACUGGCUCAGCUAUUCCUUCUCCAAAGGCUACUCCAGUCAGUUCUAUGGACAUGUCAACACCAAGUCCUCUGGCGCUCAGUUCAUCUUCCAUGAUGCUGCCUACUACUACUACUUCAACACCUCCGAUGUCUCCUGCUGCUACGUGCCUCUGCAAGGACGAGACCGGGUGCUCGAGGAAAGUUUGCUUCUUUGCUCACAAGCAUGAAGAGCUGCGUCCGUUGUAUGCAUCCACUGGUUCAGCUAUUCCUUCCCCAAAGGCUACUCCAGUCAGUUCUAUGGACAUGUCAACAUUGAGUCCUCUGGCGCUCGGUUCGUCUUCCAUGAUGCUGCCUACUACUACUACUACUUCAACACCUCCUAUGUCUCCUGCUGCUACGUGUUCGUCUCCAAUGGGCGGAAACAUGUGGCAGGGCAAGGUGAAUCUCACCCCGCCUGCACUACAGCUUCCUGGUAGUAGGCUAAAGACAUCUCUAAACGCCCGAGACUUGGACUUGGACAUGGAAAUGCUUGGCUUGGAAAGCAUCCGCACGCAGCAGCAACUCAGGCAGCAAUUGAUCGAUGAAAUGGCUGGUCUCUCUUCCCCAUCCAAUUGGAAGAACGAUAACAGGAUGGGGGAUUUGAAGCCUACUAAUCUUGAUGAUGUUUUUGGAUCAAUGGAUUCUCAAUUGUUGUCCCAAUUGCAGGGCCUAUCUCCAAGAAUGACAUCAAACACCAGUUCUCAGUUGUAUUCUCCAUCGGUUUCUCAUAUGCAAGGUCUCUCACCUAAGGUGGCAAAUAACACCUCCCAGCUGCAAUCUCCAACUGGGCUUCAGAUGCGGCAGAACAUGAACCAAUUUCAAGCAAGCUAUUCUAACAUGUCUCAAUCAUCAUCUCCCCUGAGAAAUCCCUCGACGUAUGGAUUCGACUCUUCAGCAGCAGUGGCUGCAGCUGUCAUGAACUCAAGGUCUGCUGCUUUCACAAAGCAGCGCAGCCAGAGUUUUAUUGACCGUAGUG
rnacentral:lncRNA from 1 species